GGGGGCGAUCCGGUUUCGACGUGGAUUGCAAAACCUAAGGCGCAUGCCGAGGAUGCAGCUCGCCUCGUUAAACUGGCUGUAAAUUAAUAGUUGCCAACGACGACAGCUACGCUCUAGCGGCUUAAGCCCGCUAGCCUCUGACCAAAACUUGCUUGUGAGGUUUGGAGCCUUUCGGGGCGCUCAGGGGUCGACUCAACACAAGCUUCGCGCCGAUUCUGUCCGGGGGUGAGGCGCUAAAACUAACCGGAACCGCCGUUCGUCACCCUGCCGGUCGGGGGACGAAAGGUUAAAAUAAAGACCAGGCUACGCAUGUAGUGCCAAGGGCAGAGGAUUUGCGGACGGGGGUUCGAUUCCCCCCGCCUCCACCA
rnacentral:tmRNA from 1 species